GGUUUGAGAUGUUUUACUGUAACAGAUGGUAGGAUGCUGCUUCACUUGUAUAUAUUUUUUGAAAAGGGGAUGCUUACAGGAUUUACUAUUUAAUAUCCUACUGCCCUUGUGUAUCCAGAAAGAGUCAUAAAUUGAGAUUCCUUACGAGUGAUAAGCCUGUCUUCUUCAGAAAUUUGGUUAUUCUUUUGAGUGUACUUCACACCAAAGAGGGGCGCGUUGUAUCGAUAUUUUCUUGAAUUAUAAAUUAAGUACUCUUUUGCUACUACUAGGCUAUAAUGACUUGCUUGUUACAGGGGUCAUAUCUGGGGCGCUCCUGUAUAUUAAAGAUGAUUUUGAGGCUGUCAAUGAGAGUAGCUUUCUACAGGAAACUAUUGUCAGCAUGGCUUUGGUUGGCGCAAUGAUUGGAGCUGCUUCAGGGGGUUGGAUUAAUGAUUCUUAUGGACGUAAAAAAGCUACCCUUUUAGCUGAUGUUGUUUUUGCAGUUGGAGCAGUAGUAAUGGCUACCGCACCUGAUCCUUAUGUCCUCAUUGUUGGUCGGCUUCUGGUUGGACUGGCGUUGGUGUUGCCUCUGUUACUUGUCCUGUAUAUAUUGCAGAAGCUUCACCAUCAGAAAUAAGGGGAGGCCUUGUUAGGACUAAGGUGCUUAUGAUAACUGGUAGACAGUUCCUCUCAUACCUUAUAAAUCUUGCAUUCACAGAGGUCAGGCUUACGUUGCUUUGCUAUUUGUCAAUUUGUUAUCAUAAUCAUCUGUGAUUUGCGGGUUGAUGGUUGUCCUGUUUCGAAAGCCAUAAAUAAUGGUUAAAUGGUCGUCUCAUGCCAACUUAUUCAUCACAGAGAAUGCUAAAUGGAAAUGAAUUUUUCUCACUGUUUAGUGAGACUUCCUCGA